UACGUAGGUGGCAAGCGUUGUCCGGAUUUAUUGGGUUUAAAGGGUGCGUAGGCGGCUUUGUAAGUCAGUGGUGAAAUAUGGCAGCUCAACUGUCAGGGUGCCAUUGAUACUGCAGAGCUUGAGUACAGAUGAGGUAGGCGGAAUUGACGGUGUAGCGGUGAAAUGCUUAGAUAUGUUACAGAACUCCGAUUGCGAAGGCAGUCUACUAAGCCGUUAUUGACGCUGAGGCACGAAAGCGUGGGGAGCAAACAGG
rnacentral:rRNA from 1 species